GGAGAGGUGGCUGAGCGGCUGAAAGCGGCACGCUGCUAAUGUGUUAGGGGCUUUAAAACCCCUCGAGGGUUCGAAUCCCUCCCUCUCCG
rnacentral:tRNA from 1 species